AAGGGGUCUUCAAGAGUCAGAGGUCAACUCCCUUAACUGCCUUGUCUUGAGCAAAAAUCCCGCUGGCACCCUCCCACCCUCUCCUCAACCACCAGCAGAGCUCAGCUCUCCUACUGGAGUCCAUAACUGUGGGUGCUAAGCCAUCAUGAGGUGGAAGACCUGUGCCACACAUCCCUGCCAUGAUGUGAACUGUGCUCCCAUAGAUCCAAAGCAACAAGGCCAAGAGACUGUGGACUGCAACCUCUGAAACCAUGAACCAAAAUAUGGAUUUUAAUUUGCCUUCCUUCAACACAACAGUGAAGAACGAGCGUACCAGCAUUUCUUCAGGACACACCUGUGCGCCAUGGCGGAGGAGCCCAUCUUGAGGAAGGCAGGUUUUGCACACAGGUGGUGAUUGGGAGGCCUCAACAGGCUCCUGACCAACCAAAUAAAGGCUGGUGGAAAGACAAAGCCUGUGCAUUGGGAGGUGGGGGCUGGAAUGGGGAAGGAGACACUUUAGACAAGGUUAUUAGCAGAUGUUGUUUAAAUGUUCUGAAUGCCAAACUGUAAUAAGAAAGAUCAAUGUAACAUGGACGUUUUAACACACGCGAACUCUUGCACACCCACACACACCCACACACUUUCUCUCUUUCUGAAGUACACUGCUUCCUGCAUGUGCUUUUCCAGGUACUUCCUGUUACUUGACAUUAUGGAGGAAAACUAAAGGCGAAGAGACUCCAUUCAGUUUAUCCAAUGCAUUGCUGGAGCCCGUGGUCAACAUUAGAUUGCCUCUAGAAUAGCUAAUUUUUUUGGUUGGGGUUAAGUCACUUCUUUCUUUUUUUACUAAACACCAUAUGUAAUCCCAAUUUUUAUACCACACACCCUAAGGAAAAACAAAAUAUAGGCUAUGGUUAUGACUGGCGUUUGAGAUGUUAUUGCUACAGACAAGGAGCCUACAUAUUGGAGCU